CAUUGCUACUCCAAUCAGGAGCCAAGUGACUAGGCUAAAAAAGAACACUUUAUCUUAUGGAUUUGUUACCCAACACCACCUAAACCUUGCAAAAAUCAUCAUCAAGUACUGGGGAUGAGAGAAAUUGACAGCGUCUUGAUCGAUCUUUGAGGUCGAUCAGUGCCCAUAUAUAGCAUCACCAACGGUCUUUCUUUAACCUCUAUAUCUACUGCUGAGUGACGGUGUCCCAUAGGACAUCUUCUCCUAAAGGUUUUAGAUCACAAAUGGUAUAACUUUAGGCAAAGUUGACAACGACUCCAUCGAUCUUUGAGGCCGAUCAGUGCCUUAUAUAGCAUUAUCAUUUCACCAGCAGUCUUUCUUUAACCUCUAUAGCUACUGUUGAGUGACAGUGUCUCGCAGGACAUCUGCUCCUAAAAGUUCUAGAUGACACUGUACCAGACUAAGGCCAAUAGUUUGUUCCGAUAAUAUACCAGCAGACUAUUCAUUGUUUAAACCCCAUUCACCCUAUUUAGCCAUGUCGGUAUUCCAAUUUAGAUUUUAAUAAGCAAG
rnacentral:lncRNA from 1 species